UACGUAGGGUGCAAGCGUUGUCCGGAAUUAUUGGGCGUAAAGAGCUCGUAGGCGGUCUGUCGCGUCGGCUGUGAAACUCGGGCUCAACCCGAGCCUGCAGUCGAUACGGGCAGACUAGAGUGCUGUAGGGGGAGACUGGAAUUCCUGGUGUAGCGGUGAAAUGCGCAGAUAUCAGGAGGAACACCGGUGGCGAAGGCGGGUCUCUGGGCAGUAACUGACGCUGAGGAGCGAAAGCGUGGGGA
rnacentral:rRNA from 1 species